GACGAAUGCUGGCGGCGUGCUUAACACAUGCAAGUCGAACGGAAAGGCCCUGCUUUUGUGGGGUGCUCGAGUGGCGAACGGGUGAGUAACACGUGAGUAACCUGCCCUUGACUUUGGGAUAACUUCAGGAAACUGGGGCUAAUACCGGAUAGGAGCUCCUGCUGCAUGGUGGGGGUUGGAAAGUUUCGGCGGUUGGGGAUGGACUCGCGGCUUAUCAGCUUGUUGGUGGGGUAGUGGCUUACCAAGGCUUUGACGGGUAGCCGGCCUGAGAGGGUGACCGGCCACAUUGGGACUGAGAUACGGCCCAGACUCCUACGGGAGGCAGCAGUGGGGAAUAUUGCAAAAUGGGCGGAAGCCUGAUGCAGCAACGCCGCGUGCGGGAUGACGGCCUUCGGGUUGUAAACCGCUUUCGCCUGUGACGAAGCGUGAGUGACGGUAAUGGGUAAAGAAGCACCGGCUAACUACGUG
rnacentral:rRNA from 1 species